AAGAGAUCUCCUUGGUUAAAACCAUAAAUUUCUUCUUGUAAAUCUAAAAUACAAAACACAUCACCUUGUGAAAAUCUGUCUCUGAUAUCUUUCCAUACUUCGAUAGCAAAAUCAAUCCACAAGAUGCUUUGAGCAAUUGACUGAGACAAAGAAUGAUUAAUCCAAGAUAACACCAUCGUAUUACACAUUUGCCAAGCAAAAAAUAGAGGAUCCUUGCUUGGUGGCAUUCGAAGAGAUCCAUUAAUGAAUUUCAAUUUAUUCUUAGAUUGUAGUGCCAUUGUCAUUGCUCUUGCCUAUGAAUGAUAAUUUGAACCAGUAAGAACUAGUGACACAAUAACUAAAGCAGGAUUUUCAAUAGGGUGAAGAAAAUAGGGAUUUGAUGGAUUUUUUAAAUGAUUUGGAG
rnacentral:misc_RNA from 1 species